AUUGAACGCUGGCGGCAUGCCUUACACAUGCAAGUCGAACGGUAACAGGUCUUUCGGGAUGCUGACGAGUGGCGAACGGGUGAGUAAUACAUCGGAACGUGCCUAGUAGUGGGGGAUAACUACUCGAAAGAGUGGCUAAUACCGCAUGAGAUCUAUGGAUGAAAGCAGGGGACCUUUGGGCCUUGUGCUAUUAAAGCGGCCGAUGGCAGAUUAGGUAGUUGGUGGGAUAAAAGCUUACCAAGCCUACGAUCUGUAGCUGGUCUGAGAGGACGAUCAGCCACACUGGGACUGAGACACGGCCCAGACUCCUACGGGAGGCAGCAGUGGGGAAUUUUGGACAAUGGGCGCAAGCCUGAUCCAGCAAUGCCGCGUGCAGGAUGAAGGCCUUCGGGUUGUAAACUGCUUUUGUACGGAACGAAAAGUCUUGGGUUAAUACCCUGGGAUCAUGACGGUACCGUAAGAAUAAGCACCGGCUAACUACGUG
rnacentral:rRNA from 1 species